rnacentral:misc_RNA from 1 species
ACAUUUCAAGGAAAUUGAAAUCCCACACCAAAAACACUUCAAUACCUUUCCUUUCCCUUCCGUUCUCUUUCAUCUCAUCAGUUUCUUACUCUAUGAAAACUGAGAAACCAUACCACUAUUUGCUACACAAAACUGGUGGGAUUCUCUUCAGAAAGUUUCCCAUGAACACUUCGGACUUCAACAACGUCAUGAAGGCGUUUGGGCUUGAAGAGUGAUACGAGCUAACGUGAAAUAGCGUAUGAAAUUAAUAAAAUGGGGCGCUGAGAAAGAAGAGUUAAAUGAAGCUGAGUUUGGUUCAAUAAAAGGGGCAGAGGCGGGAAGAAUAAGAAGAA